rnacentral:rRNA from 1 species
UACGUAGGUGGCAAGCGUUGUCCGGAUUUAUUGGGUUUAAAGGGUGCGUAGGCGGCCCUGUAAGUCAGUGGUGAAAUACUCUAGCUUAACUAGAGGGGUGCCAUUGAUACUGCAGGGCUUGAGUACAGACGAGGUAGGCGGAAUUGACGGUGUAGCGGUGAAAUGCAUAGAUAUCGUCAAGAACUCCGAUAGUGAAGCCAGCUUACUAGGCUGUAACUGACGCUGAGGCACGAAAGUGUGGGGAUCAAACAGG